UAAAACGUAGGGGACGAGUGUUAUCCGGAUUCAUUGGGCGUAAAGCGCGUGCAGGUGGUGCUUUAAGUUGGGCGUGAAAUCUCCUGGCUUAACUGGGAGGGGUCGUUCAAUACUGAAGCACUUGAGGGCAGAAGAGGGAGGUGGAAUUCCCGGUGUAGUGGUGAAAUGCGUAGAUAUCGGGAGGAACACCAGUGGCGAAGGCGGCCUCCUGGUCUGCUUCUGACACUAAGACGCGAAAGCUAGGGGAGCAAACGGGAUUAGAUACCCCGGUAGUCCUAGCCGUAAACGAUGGAUACUAGGUGUGGGUGGCAUUGACCCCAUCCGUGCCGUAGCUAACGCGAUAAGUAUCCCGCCUGGGUACUACGGCCGCAAGGUUA
rnacentral:rRNA from 1 species